CAGGAAUGCUGAAACAGUCGCUGAAAUUGACCUCUGCGCCAGCUGCGUUAACUGAGAGAUCUCUGGGCGACAGCGAGGGCUGUGAUGGGAGGUGACUGCAAGACGCUUGUUCCCUCGUUUCCCUGUUGGGCCCUUUGGCUUGGUGAAGGCUUGUUUCAGAGCAUGCUGCUUCGGGUAAACCUCUUCAUACAGGAAAUCCUCUGUCAGGCACUCUCCACAAUCAAUCUCCAUCUAUACACAUGACACAUAAACAGAUUUACUGAAAUGUAUUAAGCAGAACAACGUUUUUCAAAAUUUAUAAGAAGAAGAAAUGGUGAGCACUGCAAGCAGCAAAUCAGCAUAUUAGAAUGAUUUCUGAAGAAUCAUGUGACACUGAGGACUGGAGUAAUGGCUACUUAAAAUUUAUUCUUUGUCAUUACAGGAGUAAAUGGCAUUUUAAAAUAUAUUCGAAUAGAAACAUUUUUAAAAUUGCUUUUACUGUUUUACUAUAUUUUGUAUCAAAUAAUUGCAGCCUUGGUGAGCAUACCAGAACUUUAUUUACCCCCAAACUUUUGAACAACAACAUUUGUUUAUUGCAUAAUUAAUAUUUUGAAGUUAGAUGUUUUGUUGCUUAAUUGAAUCUGAAAUGUAAUAGUAUGUAGAGAAUCCUGUUAUAAAAAUCAUGCAAAAUAAACAAGCUAUUUAACAGCACUAUGAAAAGCUUUUUAUUUGUAUGUAUAAUGAAGGUAAUUGUUACUACAUGUGCUUAUUCAGUUCAACCUGUACUGUUAAAAAUAUACGUGGCAGUCUGAACAUUUAGCUUUUUGAAUGU